rnacentral:rRNA from 1 species
AUUGAACGCUGGCGGCAUGCCUUACACAUGCAAGUCGAACGGUAACAGGUCUUCGGAUGCUGACGAGUGGCGAACGGGUGAGUAAUACAUCGGAACGUGCCUAGUAGUGGGGGAUAACUACUCGAAAGAGUGGCUAAUACCGCAUGAGAUCUACGGAUGAAAGCAGGGGAUCGCAAGACCCUGUUCUACUAGAGGGGCCGAGGGCAGAUUAGGUAGUUGGUCGGAAAAAAGCUUACCAAGCCGACGAUCUGUAGCUGGUCUGAGAGGACGAUCAGCCACACUGGGACUGAGACACGGCCCAGACUCCUACGGGAGGCAGCAGUGGGGAAUUUUGGACAAUGGGCGAAAGCCUGAUCCAGCAAUGCCGCGUGCAGGAUGAAGGCCUUCGGGUUGUAAACUGCUUUUGUACGGAACGAAAAGCCCCGGGUUAAUACCCUGGGGUCAUGACGGUACCGUAAGAAUAAGCACCGGCUAACUACGUGCCAGCAGCCGCCGCGG